UUUAUGGAGAGUUUGAUCCUGGCUCAGGAUGAACGCUGGCGGCGUGCCUAAUACAUGCAAGUCGAGCGAACAGAUAAGGAGCUUGCUCCUUUGACGUUAGCGGCGGACGGGUGAGUAACACGUGGGUAACCUACCUAUAAGACUGGAAUAACUCCGGGAAACCGGGGCUAAUGCCGGAUAACAUGUUGAACCGCAUGGUUCUACAGUGAAAGACGGUCUUGCUGUCACUUAUAGAUGGACCCGCGCCGUAUUAGCUAGUUGGUGGGGUAACGGCCUACCAAGGCGACGAUACGUAGCCGACCUGAGAGGGUGAUCGGCCACACUGGAACUGAGACACGGUCCAGACUCCUACGGGAGGCAGCAGUAGGGAAUCUUCCGCAAUGGGCGAAAGCCUGACGGAGCAACGCCGCGUGAGUGAUGAAGGUCUUCGGAUCGUAAAGCUCUGUUGUUAGGGAAGAACAAAUGUGUAAGUAACUGUGCACAUCUUGACGGUACCUAACCAGAAAGCCACGGCUAACUACGUGCCAGCAGCCGCGGUAAUACGUAGGUGGCAAGCGUUAUCCGGAAUUAUUGGGCGUAAAGCGCGCGUAGGCGGUUUUUUAAGUCUGAUGUGAAAGCCCACGGCUCAACCGUGGAGGGUCAUUGGAAACUGGAAAACUUGAGUGCAGAAGAGGAAAGUGGAAUUCCAUGUGUAGCGGUGAAAUGCGCAGAGAUAUGGAGGAACACCAGUGGCGAAGGCGGCUUUCUGGUCUGCAACUGACGCUGAUGUGCGAAAGCGUGGGGAUCAAACAGGAUUAGAUACCCUGGUAGUCCACGCCGUAAACGAUGAGUGCUAAGUGUUAGGGGGUUUCCGCCCCUUAGUGCUGCAGCUAACGCAUUAAGCACUCCGCCUGGGGAGUACGGUCGCAAGACUGAAACUCAAAGGAAUUGACGGGGACCCGCACAAGCGGUGGAGCAUGUGGUUUAAUUCGAAGCAACGCGAAGAACCUUACCAAAUCUUGACAUCCUUUGACCGCUCUAGAGAUAGAGUUUUCCUCUUCGGAGGACAAAGUGACAGGUGGUGCAUGGUUGUCGUCAGCUCGUGUCGUGAGAUGUUGGGUUAAGUCCCGCAACGAGCGCAACCCUUGAACUUAGUUGCCAUCAU
rnacentral:rRNA from 1 species